CAAAUUAGAGCUUGAAAUAAGCAUUUUAUUUACAUUAAAAAGAUUACUUUAUAGUAUAGUUUGA
rnacentral:tRNA from 1 species